rnacentral:rRNA from 1 species
UUGUCUCAAAGAUUAAGCCAUGCAUGUCUCAGUACAAGCCAAAAUUAAGGUGAAACCGCGAAAGGCUCAUUAAAUCAGUUAUGGUUCCUUAGAUCGUACCCACAUUUACUUGGAUAACUGUGGUAAUUCUAGAGCUAAUACAUGAAAACAGAGCUCCGACCGGAGACGGAAGGAGCGCUUUUAUUAGAUCAAAACCAAUCGGUGGGCGGUGUUCGCACUGUUUAUCGUACAACUUGGUGACUCUGAAUAACUCUUUGGCUGAUCGCACGGUCUUGCACCGGCGACGCAUCUUUCAAAUGUCUGCCUUAUCAACUGUCGAUGGUAGGUUCUGCGCCUACCAUGGUCGUAACGGGUAACGGGGAAUCAGGGUUCGAUUCCGGAGAGGGAGCCUGAGAAACGGCUACCACAUCCAAGGAAGGCAGCAGGCGCGCAAAUUACCCACUCCCGGCACGGGGAGGUAGUGACGAAAAAUAACGAUACGGGACUCAUCCGAGGCCCCGUAAUCGGAAUGAGUACACUCUAAACCCUUUAACGAGGAUCAAUUGGAGGGCAAGUCUGGUGCCAGCAGCCGCGGUAAUUCCAGCUCCAAUAGCGUAUAUUAAAGUUGUUGCGGUUAAAAAGCUCGUAGUCGAAUCUGUGUCCCGCGCCGCCGGUUCAUCGUUCGCGGUGUUAACUGGCGUGCCGCGGGACGUCCUGCCGGUGGGCUUAGCUCGCGAGGGCGGCCCAACUCAAUCCCGCCGCGGUGCUCUUCACUGAGUGUCGAGGUGGGCCGGCACGUUUACUUUGAACAAAUUAGAGUGCUUAAAGCAGGCUAAAAUUUCGCCUGAAUACUAGUGCAUGGAAUAAUGGAAUAGGACCUCGGUUCUAUUUUGUUGGUUUUCGGAACCCCGAGGUAAUGAUUAAUAGGAACGGAUGGGGGCAUUCGUAUUGCGACGUUAGAGGUGAAAUUCUUGGAUCGUCGCAAGACGG